UGAAUUGUGAAAUUGCAUCGAAAAGGAUUUUUAUAGAAACUGACCUCACUAAUGCACUUUUGCAAAAUAAGAGUCCUAAUGCGAAAUUGACCGCGUGUAAACCAAAUUGAGGGUAAAGGAAACGCGUUGGCGAAGUCGGUUCGGCAAUCUGACGAACCUACGCAAAGAUAUCGCCAAAAGAAGGUUUUCGGCUAUAGUUGCCGCUUUAUAUAGCAUUGAAAUGCUAACUGGAAAAAUAUGAGUAUUGACUCUAGUUUAAUCUUUUCUAAUCCUUUAUAAGUGAAAAGUAAACAUGCCCAAGAGUCUAAAUUGACUUUCCGAUAGGUCGGCGACACGCUAAUUACGGUAGAGGCUGCUCUAGUCCUGUUUGCACGGAGUCGCGAGAGAUAGUCGUCGACGCUUUCCGAGACGUGGAUUCUAGUUGAUUGACACCACUACAGGUUCCAGUGCGAGUAUUGUGGCCGAGGAUCGAGGCAAGAGCCAGCAGUCUAGCUAGCGGACUCCCGAGUACUAGUGGUAUACCAUUUUGAGUUUAUGUAUCAUCCAUUUUGAUGUACAGAGAUAUGUAAUUGAAUGUAUAUAAGCAUGUAUAUAACUAAAUGUUUUAGUUAUGUAAUGUUUUAAAUUACAGUGGAUUUCAUGUUUA